rnacentral:rRNA from 1 species
UACGGAGGGUGCGAGCGUUGUCCGGAAUCAUUGGGCGUAAAGGGCGCGUAGGUGGCCCGGUCAGUCUUUGGUGAAAGCGCGGGGCUCAACCCUGCGUCGGCCAGGGAUACUGCCGCGGCUCGAGCACUGUAGAGGCAGGCGGAAUUCCGGGUGUAGCGGUGGAAUGCGUAGAGAUCCGGAAGAACACCGGUGGCGAAGGCGGCCCACUGGGCCGGUACUGACGCUGAGGCACGAAGGCGUGGGGAGCGAACGGG